CGAUGUUGAGAGGAAAGUCCGGGCAGCUCGAGCCACCAUGCUUCCUAACGGGAAGGAGUCUCUUUCCGAACACAACGAACGGGAAAGCGUAAGCGGGGAGACCACAGAGAGCGCCACAGAAAAGAUACCGCCGGUUAGAGGAGUCCAAAUUAAUUAUUAACCGGUAAGGGUGAAAACGCGGGGUAAGAGCCCACGACGUGUCCCGGUGACGGGCACGAUGGCAAGCCUCAUGGGCUGAAAGACCAUGUAUACCAGUCUGUCUGACGACAGCAAGCAGGCUCGCUUGUCUGACUGGGGGGUAGGUUGAUUGAGACCGUCGGUGACGGCGGUCCUAGAUUAAUGAUAGAACACGACAGAACCCGGCUUAUAGACCC
rnacentral:RNase_P_RNA from 1 species